rnacentral:rRNA from 1 species
GUGAGGAAUAUUGGACAAUGGGCGCAAGCCUGAUCCAGCCAUGCCGCGUGCAGGAAGACGCAUCUAUGGUGUGUAAACUGCUUUUGUACGGGAAGAAACACUCCCUCGUGAGGGAGCUUGACGGUACCGUAAGAAUAAGGAUCGGCUAACUCCGUGCCAGCAGCCGCGGUAAUACGGAGGAUCCAAGCGUUAUCCGGAAUCAUUGGGUUUAAAGGGUCCGUAGGCGGUUUAAUAAGUCAGUGGUGAAAGCCCAUCGCUCAACGAUGGAACGGCCAUUGAUACUGUUAGACUUGAAUUACAAGGAAGUAACUAGAAUAUGUAGUGUAGCGGUGAAAUGCUUAGAUAUUACAUGCAAUACCAAUUACGAAGGCAGGUUACUACUUGUGGAUUGACGCUGAUGGACGAAAGCGUGGGGAGCGAACAGGAUUAGAAACCCUAGUAGUCC